rnacentral:rRNA from 1 species
GACGAACGCUGGCGGCGUGCUUAACACAUGCAAGUCGAACGGAAAGGCCCUGCUUUUGUGGGGUGCUCGAGUGGCGAACGGGUGAGUAACACGUGAGUAACCUGCCCUUGACUUUGGGAUAACUUCAGGAAACUGGGGCUAAUACCGGAUAGGAGCUCCUGCUGCAUGGUGGGGGUUGGAAAGUUUCGGCGGUUGGGGAUGGACUCGCGGCUUAUCAGCUUGUUGGUGGGGUAGUGGCUUACCAAGUCUUUGACGGGUAGCCGGCCUGAGAGGGUGACCGGCCACAUUGGGACUGAGAUACGGACCAGACUCCUACGGGAGGCAGCAGUGGGGAAUAUUGCACAACGGGCGGAAGCCUGAUGCAGCAACGUCGCGUGCGGGAUGACGGCCUUCGGGUUGUAAACCGCUUUCGCCUGUGACGAAGCGUGAGUGACGGUAAUGGGUAAAGAAGCACCGGCUAACUACGUG